rnacentral:tRNA from 1 species
UCCCUGAUAGCCCAGUGGUUAAGAUUCCCACUUCCGAUGCAGGAGGCCUGGGUUCAAUCCCUGGUCAGGGAA